GGGGCCAACCAUGCAAGUCGAGCGAUGAACCCCUUCGGGGGUGGAUUAGCGGCGGACGGGUGAGUAACACGUGGGUAACCUGCCUCAAAGUGGGGGAUAGCCUUCCGAAAGGAAGAUUAAUACCGCAUAAAGCCAAGUUUCACAUGGAAUUUGGAUGAAAGGAGUAAUUCGCUUUGAGAUGGACCCGCGGCGCAUUAGUUAGUUGGUGGGGUAAUGGCCUACCAAGACAGCGAUGCGUAGCCGACCUGAGAGGGUGAUCGGCCACAUUGGAACUGAGAUACGGUCCAGACUCCUACGGGAGGCAGCAGUGGGGAAUAUUGCACAAUGGGCGAAAGCCUGAUGCAGCAACGCCGCGUGAGUGAUGAAGGUCUUCGGAUUGUAAAGCUCUGUCUUUUGGGACGAUAAUGACGGUACCAAAGGAGGAAGCCACGGCUAACUACGUGCCAGCAGCCGCGGUAAUACGUAGGUGGCGAGCGUUGUCCGGAUUUACUGGGCGUAGAGGGUGCGUAGGCGGAUGUUUAAGUGAGAUGUGAAAUACCCGGGCUUAACUUGGGUGCUGCAUUUCAAACUGGAUAUCUAGAGUGCAGGAGAGGAGAAUGGAAUUCCUAGUGUAGCGGUGAAAUGCGUAGAGAUUAGGAAGAACACCAGUGGCGAAGGCGAUUCUCUGGACUGUAACUGACGCUGAGGCACGAAAGCGUGGGUAGCAAACAGGAUUAGAUACCCUGGUAGUCCACGCCGUAAACGAUGAGUACUAGGUGUAGGAGGUAUCGACCCCUUCUGUGCCGCAGUAAACACAUUAAGUACUCCGCCUGGGAAGUACGAUCGCAAGAUUAAAACUCGAAGGAAUUGACGGGGGCCCGCACAAGCAGCGGAGCAUGUGGUUUAAUUCGAAGCAACGCGAAGAACCUUACCUGGACUUGACA
rnacentral:rRNA from 1 species